AAAAAGACAAACCCUGCUUUCCGUGUCCAACGUUUGACCGUUUGUCUUAUUUGAAAAAAUUAUGAAAAAAAUUUAAAAGAUAAGUCACGCAUAAAGUAUUAAUCAUGUUUUAUCAUCUAACAACAAUGAAAAUACUAAUUAUAAAAAAAUUUCAUAUAAAACGGACAGUCAAACGUUGACACAGAAAUCAGGGUUUGCCUUUUUU
rfam:Oryza sativa Japonica Group DNA, chromosome 6, cultivar: Nipponbare, complete sequence.